UAGGGAAUAUUGGGCAAUGGGCGAAAGCCUGACCCAGCGACGCCGUGUGAGGGAGGAAGGCCUUCGGGUUGUAAACCUCUAACGCCGAUCAAGAAGUGUGCUGGCGCUAAUAACGCUGGUAUGCAGACGAGUCGGGGAUGAAGUCAUGGCUAACUCUGUGCCAGCAGCAGCGGUAAUACAGAGAUGACAACCGUUAUUCGGAAUCACUGGGCUUAAAGGGCACGUAGGCGGUGAGCUAAGUUGGUUGUGAAAUACCACGUUUUAAGCGUGGAACGCCAGCCAAUACUGACUUGCUUGAGGAUAGCAGAGGAGAGUGGAAUUCCUGGUGGAGCGGUGAAAUGCGUUGAUAUCAGGAGGAACAUCGGAGGCGAAGGCGACUCUCUGGGCUAUACCUGACGCUGAGGUGCGAAAGCUAGGGGAGCAAACG
rnacentral:rRNA from 1 species